UUGACAGCUGUGAUUGACUCUCAAUUGGUCGGGCCAGAGUGAUAGAGAAAGAUUUCUCUCUGGCUAACCGCCCGAUCACAACUGCUCAGACUGUCCAUGGAUAUUUACCUUUAUAUACUGUCUAUGAUAUUAACGAGACUGGCUCCAAAAAUACAAGAUGGCAGCGCACGUACCGGGAUAUUUUGGCUUCACUAUUGUACAGCAGGAGGAAGUGGAGAGGCGUCAUCCAUCUUUAUGUAUUCUCGCUGCAAGGUCAAAAGGACAUGCUGUUUUCGGACACACACAGAGCCCUCUUCACUCAUCUUCCAGCCCCCAACAAUCACUGCAGCUACCUGGGAAAGCCUUCCGUCCAGGCUAAAACUGCAUUUUUCUCCACCCAAAAAGAAGCUUUUCCGAAACGAUGAUGUAACUCAGACCAAUGAGGGCCCAUUGCUGUGUGCCACAUUGCUAGUAAAGUCAAUAAGACAACGUUUAGAUGCCUCUAACUUUUUCUGUGACCGUUCACUUUA